rnacentral:rRNA from 1 species
GAUGAACGCUGGCGGCGUGCCUAAUACAUGCAAGUCGAGCGAACGGACGAGAAGCUUGCUUCUCUGAUGUUAGCGGCGGACGGGUGAGUAACACGUGGAUAACCUACCUAUAAGACUGGGAUAACUUCGGGAAACCGGAGCUAAUACCGGAUAAUAUUUUGAACCGCAUGGUUCAAAAGUGAAAGACGGUCUUGCUGUCACUUAUAGAUGGAUCCGCGCUGCAUUAGCUAGUUGGUAAGGUAACGGCUUACCAAGGCAACGAUGCAUAGCCGACCUGAGAGGGUGAUCGGCCACACUGGAGCGGAGCCACGGUCCAGACUCCUACGGGAGGCAGCAGUAGGGAAUCUUACGCAAUGGGCGAAAGCCUGACGGAGCAACGCCGCGUGAGUGAUGAAGGUCUUCGGAUCGUAAAACUCUGUUAUUAGGGAAGAACAUCUGUGUAAGGAACUGUGCACAGCUUGACGGUACCUAAUCAGAAAGCCACGGCUAACUACGUG